rnacentral:rRNA from 1 species
GGGUUGUGAGGUUAAGCGACUAAGCGUACACGGUGGAUGCCCUGGCAGUCAGAGGCGAUGAAGGACGUGCUAAUCUGCGAAAAGCGCCGGCGAGGUGAUAUGAACCUUUGACCCGGCGAUGUCCGAAUGGGGAAACCCAGUGUGUUCCGACACACUAUCGUUAACUGAAUACAUAGGUUAACGAGGCGAACCGGGGGAACUGAAACAUCUAAGUACCCCGAGGAAAAGAAAUCAACCGAGAUUCCCCCAGUAGCGGCGAGCGAACGGGGAGCAGCCCAGAGUCUGAAUCAGCUUGUGUGUUAGUGGAAGCGUCUGGAAAGUCGCACGGUACAGGGUGACAGUCCCGUACACGAAAAUGCACAGGUUGUGAACUCGAAGAGUAGGGCGGGACACGUGGUAUCCUGUCUGAAUAUGGGGGGACCAUCCUCCAAGGCUAAAUACUCCUGACUGACCGAUAGUGAACCAGUACCGUGAGGGAAAGGCGAAAAGAACCCCGGCGAGGGGAGUGAAAAAGAACCUGAAACCGUGUACGUACAAGCAGUGGGAGCACCUUCGUGGUGUGACUGCGUACCUUUUGUAUAAUGGGUCAGCGACUUAUAUUCUGUAGCAAGGUUAACCGUAUAGGGGAGCCGAAGGGAAACCGAGUCUUAACUGGGCGUUAAGUUGCAGGGUAUAGACCCGAAACCCGGUGAUCUAGCCAUGGGCAGGUUGAAGGUUGGGUAACACUAACUGGAGGACCGAACCGACUAAUGUUGAAAAAUUAGCGGAUGACUUGUGGCUGGGGGUGAAAGGCCAAUCAAACCGGGAGAUAGCUGGUUCUCCCCGAAAGCUAUUUAGGUAGCGCCUCGUGAACUCAUCUUCGGGGGUAGAGCACUGUUUCGGCUAGGGGGCCAUCCCGGCUUACCAACCCGAUGCAAACUACGAAUACCGAAGAAUGUUAUCACGGGAGACACACGGCGGGUGCUAACGUCCGUCGUGAAGAGGGAAACAACCCAGACCGCCAGCUAAGGUCCCAAAGUCAUGGUUAAGUGGGAAACGAUGUGGGAAGGCACAGACAGCCAGGAUGUUGGCUUAGAAGCAGCCAUCAUUUAAAGAAAGCGUAAUAGCUCACUGGUCGAGUCGGCCUGCGCGGAAGAUGUAACGGGGCUAAACCAUGCACCGAAGCUGCGGCAGCGACGCUUAUGCGUUGUUGGGUAGGGGAGCGUUCUGUAAGCCGUUGAAGGUGUGCUGUGAGGCAUGCUGGAGGUAUCAGAAGUGCGAAUGCUGACAUAAGUAACGAUAAAGCGGGUGAAAAGCCCGCUCGCCGGAAGACCAAGGGUUCCUGUCCAACGUUAAUCGGGGCAGGGUGAGUCGACCCCUAAGGCGAGGCCGAAAGGCGUAGUCGAUGGGAAACAGGUUAAUAUUCCUGUACUUGGUGUUACUGCGAAGGGGGGACGGAGAAGGCUAUGUUAGCCGGGCGACGGUUGUCCCGGUUUAAGCAUGUAGGCGGAACGAUUAGGUAAAUCCGGUCGUUUAUUAACGCUGAGGUGUGAUGACGAGGCACUACGGUGCUGAAGUAACAAAUGCCCUGCUUCCAGGAAAAGCCUCUAAGCAUCAGGUAACAUCAAAUCGUACCCCAAACCGACACAGGUGGUCAGGUAGAGAAUACCAAGGCGCUUGAGAGAACUCGGGUGAAGGAACUAGGCAAAAUGGUGCCGUAACUUCGGGAGAAGGCACGCUGAUAUGUAGGUGAAGCCCCUGCGGGUGGAGCUGAAAUCAGUCGAAGAUACCAGCUGGCUGCAACUGUUUAUUAAAAACACAGCACUGUGCAAACACGAAAGUGGACGUAUACGGUGUGACGCCUGCCCGGUGCCGGAAGGUUAAUUGAUGGGGUUAGCGGUAACGCGAAGCUCUUGAUCGAAGCCCCGGUAAACGGCGGCCGUAACUAUAACGGUCCUAAGGUAGCGAAAUUCCUUGUCGGGUAAGUUCCGACCUGCACGAAUGGCGUAAUGAUGGCCAGGCUGUCUCCACCCGAGACUCAGUGAAAUUGAACUCGCUGUGAAGAUGCAGUGUACCCGCGGCAAGACGGAAAGACCCCGUGAACCUUUACUAUAGCUUGACACUGAACACUGGUCCUUGAUGUGUAGGAUAGGUGGGAGGCUUUGAAGUGUGGACGCCAGUCUGCAUGGAGCCGUCCUUGAAAUACCACCCUUUAAUGGCUGGUGUUCUAACGUAGACCCGUGAUCCGGGUUGCGGACAGUGUCUGGUGGGUAGUUUGACUGGGGCGGUCUCCUCCCAAAGAGUAACGGAGGAGCACGAAGGUUAGCUAAUCCUGGUCGGACAUCAGGAGGUUAGUGCAAUGGCAUAAGCUAGCUUGACUGCGAGAGUGACGGCUCGAGCAGGUGCGAAAGCAGGUCAUAGUGAUCCGGUGGUUCUGAAUGGAAGGGCCAUCGCUCAACGGAUAAAAGGUACUCCGGGGAUAACAGGCUGAUACCGCCCAAGAGUUCAUAUCGACGGCGGUGUUUGGCACCUCGAUGUCGGCUCAUCACAUCCUGGGGCUGAAGUAGGUCCCAAGGGUAUGGCUGUUCGCCAUUUAAAGUGGUACGCGAGCUGGGUUUAGAACGUCGUGAGACAGUUCGGUCCCUAUCUGCCGUGGGCGCUGGAGAAUUGAGGGGGGCUGCUCCUAGUACGAGAGGACCGGAGUGGACGCAUCACUGGUGUUCGGGUUGUCAUGCCAAUGGCACUGCCCGGUAGCUAAAUGCGGAAAAGAUAAGUGCUGAAAGCAUCUAAGCACGAAACUUGCCCCGAGAUGAGUUCUCCCUGAGACUUUAAGUCUCCUGAAGGAACGUUGAAGACGACGACGUUGAUAGGUCGGGUGUGUAAGCGCAGCGAUGCGUUGAGCUAACCGAUACUAAUGAACCGUGAGGCUUAACCUUACAACGCCGAAGGUGUUU